rnacentral:rRNA from 1 species
GGUUAAAAAGCUCGUAGUUGGAUUUCUGUCGAAGACGGUCGGUCCGCUCUAUGAGCGUGUAUCUGAUUCGGCUUUGGCAUCCUCGUGGGGAACGUAACUGUGCUUGAUUGCAUGGUGCGGAAUUCACGACUUUUACUUUGAGGAAAUUAGAGUGUUCACGGCUGGCAAGCGCCUUGAAUACAUUAGCAUGGAAUAAUAAUAUAGGACUUUGGUUCUAUUUUGUUGGUUUCUAGGACUAAAGUAAUGAUUAAUAGGGAUAAUUGGGGGCAUUUGUAUUAACGCGUCAGAGGUGGAAUUCUUGGAUUGCGUUACGACAAACUACUGCGAAAGCAUUUGCCAAGGAUGUUUUCAUUGAUCAAGAACGAAAGUAUGGGGAUCGAAGAUGAUUAGGUACCGUCGUAGUCUAUACCAUAAACUAUGCCGACUAGAGAUUGGAGGUAGUUCUUUUUAUGACUCCUUCAGCACCUUAUGAGAAAUCAAAGUCUUUGGGUUCCGGGGGGAGUAUGGUCGCAAGGCUGAAACUUAAAGGAAUUGACGGAAGGGCACCACCAGGAGUGGAGCCUGCGGCUUAAUUUGACUCAACACGGGAAAACUCACCAGGUCCAGACAUAGUAAAGAUUGACAGAUUGAUAGCUCUUUCU